GGGUUAUAUGAUUCUUGCAAGGAUGUAAAGUUUGGUACCAUGAAAUCUCGGGCUAUACAAUUUAUUGGUGCUGGUGCUCAAAAUUUUAAAGGUGGCUGUUGGUGAUGUUAUAUAUAUUGAAGCAAAUAGUGGAGCAGUAAAGAGGGUGGGCAGAAGUGAUGCUUUCGCUACAGAAUUUGACCUUGAAGCAGAAGAGUAUGUUCCACUUCCUAAAGGAGAGGUUCACAAAAAGAAGGAGAUAGUUCAGCCGACCCAAGGAUGAUAUAGCUAGAAUUUAAUGCCUCUUAA